AAGGAUUUAAGUUAAAAAAACUUUUAACCUUCAAAGUUGACAAUAGAAUUAUUUCUAAGCCUUA
rnacentral:tRNA from 1 species